UACGGAAGGGGCAAGCGUUGUUCGGAAUCAUUGGGCGUAAAGGGCGCGUAGGUGGCUCUGUAUGUCUACCGUGAAAGCAUACAGCUCAACUGUAUUUUGUCGGUAGAAACUGCAGGACUUGAGGCUGGGAGGGGCUGGUGGAAUUCCCUGUGCAGCGGUGAAAUGCGUAGAGAUGGGGGAGAACACUCGUGGCGAAGGCGGCCAGCUAGACCAGUUCUGACACUGAGGCGCGACAGCGUGGGGAGCAAACAGG
rnacentral:rRNA from 1 species